AACUACGCAAAAAAAAAAAGAGAAAGAAAACAGACAUUCAACGAGAAAUGUUUAAAAGGACAUCCCGAUAGAGAAUCAAAAAGACCGAGAAGUUAUAAUUUUUUGUUUUUUGUUUGUCUGUUUGUUUGUCUGUUUGUUUGUUUGUUUUUUUUUUGUUUUCUUUUAUUUCUUAA
rnacentral:ribozyme from 13 species